GAAUUGACGGGGACCCGCACAAGCGGUGGAUGAUGUGGAUUAAUUCGAUGCAACGCGAAAAACCUUACCUACCCUUGACAUGUCACUAACGAAAGUAGAGAUACAUUAGGUGCUCGUAAGAGAAAGUGAACACAGGUGCUGCAUGGCUGUCGUCAGCUCGUGUCGUGAGAUGUUGGGUUAAGUCCCGCAACGAGCGCAACCCUUGUCUUUAGUUGCUACGCAAGAGCACUCUAAAGAGACUGCCGGUGACAAACCGGAGGAAGGUGGGGAUGACGUCAAGUCCUCAUGGCCCUUAUGGGUAGGGCUUCACACGUCAUACAGUGGUGCAUACAGAGGGUUGCCAACCCGCGAGGGGGAGCUAAUCUCAGAAAAUGCAUCGUAGUCCGGAUCGUAGUCUGCAACUCGACUACGUGAAGCUGGAAUCGCUAGUAAUCGCGGAUCAGAAUGUCGCGGUGAAUACGUUCCCGGGUCUUGUACACACCGCCCGUCAUACCAUG
rnacentral:rRNA from 1 species